ACGGGGCCCGCACAAGCGGUGGAGUAUGUGGUUAAUUCGAUGCAACGCGAAGAACCUUACCUGGUCUUGACAUCCCGGAGACCCUUAGGAAACUAGGGGGUGCUUCCAUCUGGAAGAAUCUGGAGACAGGUGCUGCAUGGCUGUCGUCAGCUCGUGUCGUGAGAUGUUGGGUUAAGUCCCGCAACGAGCGCAACCCUUGCCUUUAGUUGCCAGCAGUUCGGCUGGGCACUCUAAAGGGACUGCCGGUGUUAAACCGGAGGAAGGUGGGGAUGACGUCAAGUCCUCAUGGCCUUUAUGACCAGGGCUACACACGUACUACAAUGGCCGAUACAAAGGGCAGCGACACUGCGAGGUGAAGCCAAUCCCGUAAAAUCGGUCUCAGUCCGGAUUGGAGUCUGCAACUCGACUCCAUGAAGUUGGAAUCGCUAGUAACCGUGGAUCAGCAUGCCACGGUGAAUACGUUCCCGGGCCUU
rnacentral:rRNA from 1 species